UACGAAGGGGGCUAGCGUUGCUCGGAAUCACUGGGCGUAAAGGGUGCGUAGGCGGGUCUUUAAGUCAGGGGUGAAAUCCUGGAGCUCAACUCCAGAACUGCCUUUGAUACUGAGGAUCUUGAGUUCGGGAGAGGUGAGUGGAGCUGCGAGUGUAGAGGUGAAAUUCGUAGAUAUUCGCAAGAACACCAGUGGCGAAGGCGGCUCACUGGCCCGAUAACUGACGCUGGACGGCACGAAAGCG
rnacentral:rRNA from 1 species